AAGCCCCGGCACCUUUUAGGGUGCGUCUCCAAAUUUGCACUUUGGCGUAAAUUCACCUCGAGGCU
rnacentral:tRNA from 1 species